ACCACCAGAAGUGGAACUUGCAGCUUAAUUUGACUCAACACGGAAAACAUCACAAGGAAAAGACAAAUGAAAGAUUUGCAGUUUG
rnacentral:rRNA from 1 species